rnacentral:rRNA from 1 species
UAAGGAAUAUUGGUCAAUGGGCGCAAGCCUGAACCAGCCAUGCCGCGUGAAGGAAGACGGCGCUAUGCGUUGUAAACUUCUUUUGUCAGGGAAUAAAUGUAGGUACGUGUACUUACUUGAAGGUACCUGAAGAAUAAGCAUCGGCUAACUCCGUGCCAGCAGCCGCGGUAAUACGGAGGAUGCAAGCGUUAUCCGGAUUCAUUGGGUUUAAAGGGUGCGUAGGCGGUUUUUUAAGUCAGUGGUGAAAUCCUGCGGCUCAACCGUAGAACUGCCAUUGAAACUGAAGAACUUGAAUAUAGUUGAGGUAGGCGGAAUGUGCAGUGUAGCGGUGAAAUGCUUAGAUAUUGCACAGAACACCGAUUGCGAAGGCAGCUUACCAAGCUAUUAUUGACGCUGAGGCACGAAAGCGUGGGGAUCGAACAGG